UACGUAGGUGGCAAGCGUUGUCCGGAUUUACUGGGCGUAAAGGGCGUGCAGGCGGUUUGUUAAGUGCAGGGUGAAAGCUCCCGGCUCAACUGGGAGAGGUCCUUGCAUACUGGCGAACUCGAGGGAGGCAGAGGAAAGUGGAAUUCCCGGUGUAGUGGUGAUAUGCGUAGAUAUCGGGAGGAACACCUGCGGCGAAGGCGGGUAGCUGGGCCGACACUGACGCUGAGGCGCGAAAGCCAGGGGAGCGAACGGG
rnacentral:rRNA from 1 species